rnacentral:rRNA from 1 species
GGAAGAGCUCAAAUUUAUAAUCUCGGCACCUUCGGUGUCCGAGUUGUAAUCUCUAGAAAUGUUUUCCGCGUUGGACCGCACACAAGUCUGUUGGAAUACAGCGGCAUAGUGGUGAGACCCCCGUAUAUGGUGCGGACGCCCAGCGCUUUGUGAUACAUUUUCGAAGAGUCGAGUUGUUUGGGAAUGCAGCUCAAAUUGGGUGGUAAAUUCCAUCUAAAGCUAAAUAUUGGCGAGAGACCGAUAGCGAACAAGUACCGUGAGGGAAAGAUGAAAAGCACUUUGGAAAGAGAGUUAACAGUACGUGAAAUUGUUGGAAGGGAAACGCUUGAAGUCAGACUUGCUUGCUGAGCAAUCGGUUUGCAGGCCAGCAUCAGUUUUCCGGGAUGGAUAAUGGUACAGAGAAGGU